rnacentral:rRNA from 1 species
UACGAAGGGGGCUAGCGUUGCUCGGAAUUACUGGGCGUAAAGCGCACGUAGGCGGCUUGUUAAGUCAGGGGUGAAAUCCUGGAGCUCAACUCCAGAACUGCCUUUGAUACUGGCGAGCUUGAGUUCGGGAGAGGUGAGUGGAACUGCGAGUGUAGAGGUGAAAUUCGUAGAUAUUAGGAAGAACACCAGUGGCGAAGGCGGCCCACUGGUCCGGUACUGACGCUGAGGCGCGAAAGCCAGGGGAGCCAAAGCGGG